AUUUGACAGUUCAAACUAGUCUGAAAUCCACUCCGCCAGUCUAGCAACACACUGACUAUAGUUUCAACAGUUUUUACACGAGAUCAAAACAACAGUUCCGGUAAAAGGUGGACUUCAACGAACGAUGAGCACCUUUUCGGGAUUUUUCGCUGAGCUACCGGCUGUUUCGGCUGAUCGAUUUCUGCCAAAAAACCGUUCGGAAUCGGUAGUGUUCUUCUUAUCGCACUGUCACUCUGAUCAUAUGGCGGGACUGGAGCAACCUGAACCUCUUCCGGGUCCACUGUACACCAGCCCAAUAUCGGCGGUUUUCCUCAAACAUCGUUUUCCCCAUCUGACGGGUGGAAUUCGUACGCUCGAGGUUGGAUGUGUUACCUCAAUCACGCUGACCACAGGAAACAUCAGUCGAGAAGUACAGGUAACGGCCAUCCCUGCGGGUCACUGUCCCGGUUCGAUAAUGCUACUCUUCGAAAAUGAAUCGCAUCAGCAAGUUCUCUACACCGGUGAUUUUCGCCUCUGCGCCAAAGAUUUACGAAACAUUUUGCCACUUCGCUCCGUCACUGUGGAUGCCGUCUAUCUAGACACAACCUUUUUCAGUCAAUCUUACGCAUACUUCCCGUCGCAGUCGGAAAGCCUAGCGAAGAUUCUGUCGCUCGUCGCGGAAUGGCUUGCCCGGGAUGAUCGCAACGUUGUUGCGAUUAAGCUUCCCGCCCUAUACGGUUCGGAGUAUCUCUUUGUGGAGUUGGCCCGCAAGCUGAAGCAACAGAUUCACAUUCGUCAAGAGGAGCUGCAACAGUAUCGGUAUUUAGCUAGUCUAGACAAUUACGUGACAGCGAAUGGAAAGUUGGCACGCAUUCAUGCCUGCCAAGGAACGAAUAGAAUUCGUACCGAACGGUGGGUCUGCUCGUCAUUGGAGGCUUCUACUAGUGGGCAGCAUGUUCGCGUUAUUCGACCAUCCGCACUUCGGUGGCGUAACUUGCGGGCGGGUAAACCCUUCUGCAACAGACUAUCGGAGAAUUGCGAAGAUUACGCCGUUUGUUAUUCUAAUCACGCCAGCUGUGCUGAGUUGGAGGAUUUCCUUCGCUACUUGCGACCCAAACGGGUGCACUUUAAUGUGCUACCGUGCGAUGAUUUGGAAGCGGAGCAAAGGAUGAACCAUUUAGUUGCAGAGAUUUUACCCAAAGCUGAUGAAGUCGUCACAGAGCUCGCACCAAUGAGCUUCGAAGGUAUCGUUUACCGGAAAUCGGUGGGGAAAUGUAAGCUGGUGCUUUCCGACGACGACGACGACGAUAGUGGGAGUGGCCAGAAAGAGGUACUCCGACUGCCGAAACGGGUUCGAAGUUGAUGUUUACUUCUACUAAGAUAUAUUUAAUUUGUUUUAAUAUUUAAAAAUUCUGAUGUUCACGAAACAAGAAUGUUUUUUUUUUAAAGAAAAUCACAACCUAACUGUAUUAUUUCUCUAAUUUUGUUGACCAGUGUGAUUGUUUACCUAGUUCACGCGCAAGCUAAUCAGAUUUGUAGAUAGAAGGUAUGUAUAGCUAGUAUCUAUCAGCAGCUUGAGCAGCCUUUUCAGAUAACGUAUACAAAACAAAGGCGAGUUAGUGUCUUGUAUGCUUAGACGAAAAUUGGUCCGAAGCUUUUGGCUGAAAGCAUCUCUCAUUACGAUGGCGAUGUUUGCGGUUGUAGGAGUCCUGGUGGCGCUCAUUGUGACCAGCAGUGCCAGUAGUGAAAAGCUGGAGACAGUGCGACGUGUCAUCGUAGAUGUGGAUGCUGGAGCAGACGACGCGUGGGCGUUGUUUCACCUGUUGGCAACUCCGGGCGUCUUCGUCGAAGCUAUCAGCUGCGUUCGAGGCAACACCAAUGCGAC